rnacentral:rRNA from 1 species
AGUAGAGAACGAAAAGGAGCUAUCGAAUAAAUAGCUCUGCUGACGGUACUCUAAGAAUAAGCACCGGCUAACUACGUGCCAGCAGCCGCGGUAAUACGUAGGGUGCGAGCGUUAAUCGGAAUUACUGGGCGUAAAGGGUGUGCAGGCGGCUGAGUAAGACAGAUGUGAAAUCCCCGGGCUUAACCUGGGAACCGCAUAUGUGACUGCUUGGCUAGAGUGCGUCAGAGGGAGGUGGAAUUCCACGUGUAGCAGUGAAAUGCGUAGAUAUGUGGAAGAACACCGAUGGCGAAGGCAGCCUCCUGGGACGCAACUGACGCUCAUACACGAAAGCGUGGGGAGCAAACAGGAUUAGAUACCCUGGUAGUCCACGCCCUAAACGAUGUCAACUAGUUGUUGGGGAUUAAAUU